rnacentral:hammerhead_ribozyme from 1 species
AUCAAGCUGAAGAGUUCCAAAUAGGAUGAAAUGCACGUCCUGGGU